rnacentral:rRNA from 1 species
AUUGAACGCUGGCGGCAUGCCUUACACAUGCAAGUCGAACGGCAGCACGGGUGCUUGCACCUGGUGGCGAGUGGCGAACGGGUGAGUAAUACAUCGGAACGUACCUUAUCGUGGGGGAUAACGCAGCGAAAGCUGUGCUAAUACCGCAUACGCCCUGAGGGGGAAAGCGGGGGAUCGCAAGACCUCGCGCGAUUAGAGCGGCCGAUGCCUGAUUAGCUUGUUGGUGGGGAAAAAGCCAACCAAGGCGACGAUCAGUAGCUGGUCUGAGAGGACGAUCAGCCACACUGGGACUGAGACACGGCCCAGACUCCUACGGGAGGCAGCAGUGGGGAAUUUUGGACAAUGGGGGCAACCCUGAUCCAGCAAUGCCGCGUGAGUGAAGAAGGCCUUCGGGUUGUAAAGCUCUUUUGUCAGGGAAGAAACACCGGCUCUAACACAGUCCGGGAAUGACGGUACCUGAAGAAUAAGCACCGGCUAACUACGUGCCAGCAGCCGCCGUAA